rnacentral:rRNA from 1 species
UGGGGAAUAUUGGACAAUGGGCAAAAGCCUGAUCCAGCCAUGCCGCAUGAGUGAAGAAGGCCUUUGGGUUGUAAAGCUCUUUUAGUGAGGAAGAUAAUGACGGUACUCACAGAAGAAGUCCUGGCUAACUCCGUGCCAGCAGCCGCGGUAAUACGGAGAGGGCUAGCGUUAUUCGGAAUUAUUGGGCGUAAAGGGCGCGUAGGCUGGUUAGUAAGUUAAAAGUGAAAUCCCGAGGCUUAACCUCGGAACUGCUUUUAAAACUGCUAACCUAGAGAUUGAAAGAGGAUAGCGGAAUUCCUAGUGUAGAGGUGAAAUUCGUAAAUAUUAGGAGGAACACCAGUGGCGAAGGCGUCUAUCUGGUUCAAAUCUGACGCUGAGGCGCGAAGGCGUGGGGAGCAAACA